GCUUAAGACUUAACAUCUUUUAAUUAAUUGAGCAUUUGAUGUGAAGAGAGAAUAUAUAUAUAUAUUGAAUUAUUAUUAUCGUAAUUAUUUUGAAACAGAAACAUAAUAACUUCACUUAUUGUAAAUCAAUAUCACAGCUUACGUAUUUUCUCUUGCCAGGCUUUAGAAAACAAGUUUAUCCAUCUUUAGAAAGAUUGUUUUUUGCAAAACAUAUUUUGAAAUACAUGGAUGGGGCUAAGGGGUGCAAAAUAGAAUGGAAAUAGGAAUAACGAAGACAUGACAGAUUUUUUGGAUUCUAGGCGUCUUCAGUUUUGAGAGUCUUUUGCUUCUCCUUUCGGGGCAAAGUGUCUUUGGAUAUGUUAAGGGUUGCUGUGUGUGACAGACAUUUGACAAUCCCAUCUGGAACCUGCUGUGCACAACUAGUAGCCAUAGAAGCGCUUGAUGAUGCUCCGUUUGAUAAUUUAGGUACUCACUGCAUUUGAAUCAGCAUCACUGGGUUAACCACUGUUGAUGAUUUCUAACACAAUUUGAAAGGAAUAUGGCAGAAGGGGGUCCCUAAAUGAAGAAUAGGAGAUUCAAGCCCAGAGUUCCGCCAAAUCGUCACACUCAAUCCUGACAAACUUCAUUUCUCUUUUUUCCCAUCUUGAGGCCUCAAAUUCGUCAGCUGAUGCAC
rnacentral:sRNA from 2 species